rnacentral:rRNA from 1 species
GACGUAGGGCGCGAGCGUUGUCCGGAUUUAUUGGGCGUAAAGAGCUCGUAGGCGGCUUGUCGCGUCGAAUGUGAAAUCUCAGGGCUCAACUCUGACAUUGCAUUCGAUACGGGCAGGCUAGAGUUCGGUAGGGGAGACUGGAAUUCCUGGUGUAGCGGUGAAAUGCGCAGAUAUCCGGAGGAAUACCAGAGGCGAAGGCGGCCAACUGGGCUUGUUCUGACGCUGAGGUGCGAAAGCGUGGGGAGCGAACAGG